CAUUUUUCUGCACUUAGGGUUUGCUUUAUUUAUGAGAGGGGGACAUGUCCCCACAGCAACGCAGUGACUCAUCCCAAGGUCCUGCUGCCGUGAGGAGGCAAACCACAUACUACUACUACUACAUACAUAGACAACACACAUACAGACUAAGAUAAACAUACAAGAUGAAAUACAACAUUAUGUUGGAGAGGGAAGGUCAGUGUUCUUUGAAAGAGGAAAAGGAAACGUAAGCAUCGCAAAAAAGGUGGUGUCCGUCGCCGACGACCACGUGCAGGAUACAGGAUAGAGACGUGAAGAGGAAACACAGAGCAGAUUGAAGUGUCACGCGGAGAGAGGAGAGAAUCUGUUCCCGUACAGGUGGUGAACAGAAG
ensembl:lncRNA